UAUAUAGUCCCUCCGCCCGAAAUUACGUGUCGUAUAAAUGGAUGUAUCUAGACAUAUUUAGUUCUAUAUACAUUCAUUUUUAUCCAUUUCUACGACAAGUAAUUCGGGACAGAGGGAGUACUUC
rnacentral:pre_miRNA from 1 species